AGCUCUUGAAGGCAAGAUUUGAUUGUUGGUCCCUCCUCUUACAAAAAAUUGGAAAGACCAGUGGUUUGUCGUUGGUGGCAAGUAGCUUGCCCACGAUGAUAAUGGGCUGUACCUUUCGAUCUCGACUUAGUGUAGGGCUUUAACCACCACUGCAUCAAUAUCACACUCGUUCUUUGAUGCACCCAGUUGCUCCACAACCCCUCUUCAUGGGGUCCACCCAUUAGUCUUCUCAUGGCAAUACAAAUUUUGCUUCACGACUCUCAGCUUUCUUCUUCCAGGGACUGUACUAUUUUGAUAUUGGUGAGGUGACCUACCUCGAAAGGACCUUCAACUUGUGAUAGGAAGUUAGUGAAACACCCCUUGGUUGUUCACCGCUUGGUGGUAUCUUUUGGUCAGGCUACCAACGAAAUUAAACAUCUUCAUCAAAACUAUUCCCUUGGUACGAGCUAAGUCGAGCCCUUGCUUCUUUGGAUCGAGCCAACCGCUUGUUGGAAAACGCACAACAUGAGCUUAAGUUCGAGAAGAGAAGGUCUCAGGGGGAAAUUGCGAACCUACAAAUGAAGCUUGAUGAGGCAAAAGCCCAACUCUCUAAUUCUGAAUUUCUAGCAAAGGAGUUCAAGAAAAUUGUGGAGUAUGUUAAUCUACAGAAUGCCACGAUGGGGUGCGGUGUUUCGUGGUGGCUUAUGUUAAUCUAUAGAAUGCCGCUAUGGAGUGCGGUGUUUCGUGAUCGCUUCAUCAACUCUCCAAUGAGCAUCCUAGGAUGGAUUAUUCCCUCCUUCACGAGCGUUUCAGAGCUGAAUGCAAUGCUAUUGAAUAUAUGGAUGAUGAUGAUGAUGAGUAGAAACAGCCAGUACUAGUUUGUUGUUUUUGCUUUAUGUAGUUUUUGAUUUUCAGCUUUAUUCGCUAGAUCUUUUGAUGUUUGAUGAUCUAGGCUCGACUUAUCUUAUGUGUACUGCUAUUUAUUAGAAGGAAAACAACUUUUAAG